rnacentral:lncRNA from 10 species
UUUAAUCUUUGGGUUGUUGGUACAAUAAAAGAGAGGUAAAGUACCACCAACCCAGAAAAAAAAAAAAAAAAAAAAAGGAACUCUUACAGGGUCUAACAAGAAUCAUUCUGUAGCAGAAACUACUCCACAGACUAAACUUAAGUAAAUGUAGCUAUUCUCACCCCUGGCUACCUGCAGAUGAGAAUAUAGAGAUGACUUACAUUCUCCCCAGAACCUUUCUGGUUGGAUUAGAAAGGGGCAAAAGAUCCCAGAAGACAUGAACAACAGUUUG